rnacentral:tRNA from 1 species
GGCGCGAUGGCCGAGUGGUUAGGCAGAAGCCUGCAAAGCUUUGAACGGGGGUUCGAUUCCCUCUCGCGCCU